UCUGAGGAGGUGCCGUUAGGUGGAGACUUGACAGCAGAAAGGAGCCAGCAGGGGUGGCGGGGAUGGAGGAGCCAGGGAAGAGCAAUGGGACCAGUGGAUGAGAUGGGAAGGCCGGCAGGGCCCAGAGCACAGGAGUCGGGAAGAACACGGUUUCCCUGCAAGGAAGACGGGACUUUUAAGCAG